CAGAACUUACAAGUGCUUUACCAGAGUUAAUUGAGUAAAUUGAAGCAAGCUGCAUCGCAGUGGUGAUCUAUGAUCCCCGGGUUGAGGGCCCAGAAGGGAGACAACAGAUUUACUGCAAGGACAGUGGGCGGCCUUUUGUUCAGGCCCUGGUUCAUGGGAAGUUUGAGGUCAGUCGGGAUUAAAAUAUCUCCAGGAACAAAUGAAGUAAUUUGAGAGUAAUAUAAGGAGCCCUGUGCCAGUUUCUACCACGGAUUCCAGGUGUGAUUUGUUUGAUUUUGAGCCGCAUGUCCCUUUUUGAUCUUUCCCCCCCUCAUUCUAUUAUUUAGGAUUUAUAGAUAAGAGGAAGAUUGGCCCUUAUUAACUGGCCCUUUAGUUCUGGUUGACAUAACCGAAGGAGAGGGAGUCUUGCACUAUCAACACAAACAAGUACCAAGAAGGGAAAAGUCAGGCAGCCUCCACUUCAGGGGACAGCGCUACUAGUGCCUCUAACUUUCGCUUUAAGAGUCUCGGUGAGAUUGCAGUUCUUGGUUGUUCUAAACUACAUACAUGGUCAUAACUAGGCACAUUGGGGACUGGGGUUGGGGGAGGACUGAACCAGCUGGCCAAGGUGGAGGUGAUCCUAUCGUGUGGUGAUUGCGUUAAAUUGAGAGCUCAGAGGAACCACUGAAGAGUCCUGGUAAAAUAUGACCUACACCAACAACUGGUGCCAAAAGCAGAAAGGGAACAGGUGGGAUGAAACAUGAGGAUAUUUGUGAUUGCAUGGGAAAAUUUAGCAUUCCACCAUUCACAUGCAAUCACAUACUGGUUUGCAGCCCAUCCAAGAAUGGUUUCCCUUUUCCUCCCCACCUACUCGUCUUCCCUCAACCCCAUUGAGGAAUUGUUUCUGCCUGGAGGUGGAAAGUGUAUGAUCAUCGGCCACAUGACCAAAUGUCCCUCCUGGAUGCAACGGAUGCCGACUGCAGAGACAUCUCAGCCGAAGACUGCCAUAAGGCGUGCUAAGCGUUUCUAUCCAAGGUGAAUAGCGAGAGACGACAUAAGAUGUGAUGUGGUUGAGAACAUGUGGCCAAAUGCUGAAGAUCGUAUAGAUUUGAACAGGGCUGUGCAAUUGUUUUGUUUUUUCCCUUCUGUGCCCUUUGUACUGUAAUUGUGUUUUCUUUUUACACAUUUUGGAACCAAAGGCCAUGUAUGCUGGAUUUCUUGUUGAUCAUUGGCAGCAAUUUCAUGUUGCUAAUACAGCUUUUACUGCAGCAAUUCUGUCACUUGCUAUUUUUUUCAACUGUACAUUCUAUAAAGUAAAGAUGACUCAUUCACUUUUAGAUUGUAUGUUGCCAAAAAUGCACAUUAACAACACUCAACCCCACAAAAAAUGUAGGGGUGGUUUACAGUAAAAGGAAACAGAAUUAUUUAAAAAAACGAUGGAUUUCAUAUUGUCUAUUGUUAUGCAGGUAGAACUGAAACAUGAAAAGUAAUGCUGUUUUUGUAACGCCAUCAACUGUUAGUAUUUUGAAAGGCCUUGUGCUAUGAUUGACUAUAUGUUCCCCUUAGAUAGAAAACACUUGCUAGUGUUUUGACAGAAUGAUUAGAUAUUGAGUCAGGUUUGCCGUGUUUUGAUAGUUAGUGUAUGUAGAGAAAGUUUUUUAGCAUUUUGAAAUGUAGAGGUGCUAUUUAAUGAACAAAAUGUGGUUUUGUGCAAAAAAAUGUACUAUUUGGCUAAUUGUGUGAUGUCGGUGUGUUGCUGUUUUAAGAGUUUAGAAACAGCAAUUGUAAGAAACUGUAAUGCUAAUUAAUGAUAAAGCUCAGUACAGUCUCACAAAA